rnacentral:rRNA from 1 species
AUUGAACGCUGGCGGCAUGCCUAACACAUGCAAGUCGAGCGGAUGAAGGGGGCGUUCUCUUGUAUGCUGUUACCGACGGGUGGGUAAUGCCUACGAAUCUGCCUUGUCUAUGGGAAUAACAUACCUAAAGGGGCGCUAAUCCCACAUACGUCCUUAUUGAGAACGUGAGGGUUCUACGGUCCACGCGCUUCCAGCUGAGACUAGGAUGGAUUAGCUAGUUGGUUGGGUAAAGGCUUACCAAGGCGACGAUCCGUAACUGGUCUGAGAGGAUGAUCAGUCACACUGGAACUGAGACACGGUCCAGACUCCUACGGGAGGCAGCAGUGGGGAAUCUUCCGCAAUGGGCGAAAGCCUGAUGGAGCAACGCCGCGUGUGUGAUGAAGGUCUUCGGAUCGUAAAGCACUUUAAGUUGGGAGGAAGGUCAGUAUGUGUAUCUGUUGCUGUCUUGACGUUACCUACAGAGUAAGCAACGGCUAACUUCGUG